CGGCAGAAGGAAAAGUGCCGCUUUCGGUUUUCUUGAAAAAAUGGGGAUCGACGGACUACUGUUCCUACUAGCUGUUAUUGAUGAGGGCGCAUUGUUGUUUUUAGUUGUAUAUUUUGUUAUAACUCUUUCAGAUUUAGAAUGUGAUUAUCUAAAUGCAACUACAUGUUGUACAAGACUCAAUAAGUUUGUAUUACCAGAGAUUAUAGCACAGGCUAUUCUCAAUGUUCUGUUCUUAAUAACGGGUCAUUGGAUCCUGUUCCUCCUGUAUACGCCUUGUACAGCAUGGAUAAUCUAUAUAUUUGUAACAAAGCCCUCGGGUAAUAUUGGGAUCUACGACCCAGCAGAAAUUCAUAAUAGACAUCAACUCAAAGCUUACAUGAGAGAUAAUAUGAUCAAAAUGGCUGUUCAUCUUAUCUUUUUCUUCAUUUUCUUGUACUGGAUGAUUUACAGUUUGUUGAAAGAUGACACAACCAUGUUUGGAGUUCCUGCUGAGAAGGCCACAUUGACAGAUGAUCCAUAUGAACUUUAGGUGUGUAAUUUUCUGUGUGAACUGUAGAAAUAUACAUGUAGAUUUGUGUGAGCUUUACAUGUGUUAAUGUGGUGCAUACAUGCUUUUUUUGAAAGAUUUUUUUUAAGCUUUUGGUUGCAUUAGUCCCAUAUUGAUAGGAAAUUUACAUGACUGUAGAUGUUAUUUUCAUACUCAUCAAAUAUAAAAUAUGUCAUUUGUGUUCCUUCCUCAUCUAAGCUUAUUACAAUGCUUAGACUUUACAACUACAAAAAUUAUAUACAGUUGAACUUCGGUAUCUCAAACAUGGAUAUCUCGAAUACAAUGAAUAUUUCAAAGUGAUUGGAAAGUCCCAAGUCCUUUUUCUUUAAGUAUUUUACCCUCAAUAUCUCAAACCCACAGAUAUCUCGAAGUUUUUUCUCGGUCCCAUCGAGUUCUGAGAUAACGAGGUUUGACUGUAUUACUAUACCAGGUAAAUGAUAGAAAUGUGUAGGCUAAUAGAGUUUGUAGUAUAUGUACAAUAUACAUGUAUGUAAAAUGUAUGUUCUUUGAAAUACUGUAUGUCUUUUCUUUGUUUAUGGUUUUUAUAUUUGAAUCUACCCGCUGCAAAAUAAGUACCGGUAUCCUUAAAGCUGAACACGAAUCGUAAAUAGGCAUUUGCCAUAUUUAAGUUUUCCUAUCUCUGACAUCAGCACUGGGGUAUGUAAACCCUUCACAUUCGUUACACCUGAUUGCUUUUAGCUGGUUGCUGUGGCAUAUAGUACACAUAUAUAUCAUGUUGCCUUUAUGUGUACAUUUUAUUUCAUUGAAUAUGCAUUUAUGUUUGUUUCACUUCAUGAAUGUAUUUUAGUUUUGUAAAGUGUGAUUGGUGAUUAAAUCACACAGGCUUCUCACGUAGGCAUAUUUCAUGAAGCACACUAGCCCUUCAUGAUAAAUAUGCCUACAUGCAAGUCUGUAUGUUUUACACUUUACACACCAGUAACACUCACAAAACUAUAAAACAUUUUUUAUAUUUACAUCUUUAAAACCAACAAAUAUACACUCAAUAUUUGAAUUUUGUUGCUGCCCUAUACAUGUAUAUAUUUUUUUUUUUACAUCUUGGUCACCUCAUUGUGACAUCACUUUAACAUGUGUUUCUCUGUGUAUAUUUCUAUGCGUGACUUUACACAAAAAUGGCAUUCAAAUCUAUUUCAUGGUUGGCUCAGUAAAAAACUCAGCAAAUGUAAAUAUUUUGAAAUGUUGACCUGUCAGUAUGUCUUUGAUAACUUUAUACCUGACGUGGCAGAACCAUACAGAAGUCAUAUUUGUCACACCAGAUAUAAUGUAUCAAAAAGACAAUGGAAGAUAUGUAGGCACAGAUAAAAUCUGUUAUGUAAAAUAUGUUGAACCACGAACAAGGCUGAGGUUUAUAUAGGGGCUUGAGGAACACAGUCUAGAGAAAAGAAAUAUGGCAGACAAA